rnacentral:lncRNA from 1 species
GCCCCCACCACGGCCCCCCGCCCCAACCCCCUCGGACAUGACCCUAUCCACCCAUUACUGCCCACAACUGGACGAAAGUAUAAGAGAAUAUAAAGAUAAUAUAAAGAUAUAAAGACAUAAACGAUGGUAAUAGCAAAGCAGCAGCAAGUAAUACAAGGCUCACACAAAUUCAAAGAAAUACUCCAGCAACCAAACUAUACUCAAUUACUAGUAUAAUACGAAGAAUGAAAGAAUGCAGAAUGAAGAAUGAAAUAAGCAAAGGUUAGAAGUCACCAGAUUUUGCUUGUAGACCAAGCCGGCAACCAAGCCCCGCGUCGACCUGCUGCCGGGGGAUUUCGCUGCUGAGAUGGAUCUGCGGCUGCUGGCGACCGAGCGGCGGUUGCGGCUGAAGAAACUAGUGAAGAAUGACAUGCCUUUUUAAUACUCAUCAGUUCUAUCUCAGUAACAUAUCUAUGAGUCAGUCCAUCCACACAAAUCCAAAACAAGUAUGGCUUAUCCUAGAAGAACUUCGUCACAUCAUGCAUAAACUUCUUACGCUACUGAAAUGUUAUGUCGUCAAACACCACAUCGCUCACCAAAUAAUUGGCAAAGUAUGCAAAUCAUGGAAUCAAGUCUUGUGGUGCAGCCAAUACCUG